rnacentral:rRNA from 1 species
CCUACGGGAGGCAGCAGUGAGGAAUAUUGGUCAAUGGACGAGAGUCUGAACCAGCCAAGUAGCGUGAAGGAUGACUGCCCUAUGGGUUGUAAACUUCUUUUAUAUGGGAAUAAACUGUUCCACGUGUGGGAUUUUGUAUGUACCAUAUGAAUAAGGAUCGGCUAACUCCGUGCCAGCAGCCGCGGUAAUACGGAGGAUCCGAGCGUUAUCCGGAUUUAUUGGGUUUAAAGGGAGCGUAGGCGGAUUGUUAAGUCAGUUGUGAAAGUUUGCGGCUCAACCGUAAAAUUGCAGUUGAUACUGGGAGUCUUGAGUGCAGUAGAGGUAGGCGGAAUUCGUGGUGUAGCGGUGAAAUGCUUAGAUAUCACGAAGAACUCCGAUUGCGAAGGCAGCUCACUGGACUGCAACUGACGCUGAGGCUCGAAAGUGUGGGUAUCAAACAGGAUUAGAUACCCUUGUAGUC